UUUAUUUAGUCCAGGAAGAGCUGUGGUGGGGAGUGGAUGUUGAACAAAACAGAGCUCUGUAAGAAUUUUCUGACUUUUUACCUGGUACGUGAGCCUCCCCUCUUUUUAUUGCUCCUGUGGAUCAUGCUGUCUCACUGUAAGUAGGAUCUCUCCAAAGAGCAGCUUUAUCUAUACCAGGCGACGUAGCCUCUGUGGAUCACAACAGCCAGGCCCGGUCUCCCCAUAGCUUUCCCUGUUUGCAGACGUGAAAAUCCAUUUCUCCAGUGAACUGGAGGUGAACCUCUGGAAGGCGAGCGGUGGUCGCGGGGUGUGUGGGAGCACUGCCAUCGUUCGGAUGCGGACACCACGGCAGGAGUAAGCUGGGGCAGCAGCCGCCGGGGCAGCGCCCACGUGUGGAAAAGCUAUUGGAGCUCGGUCCUUCUCUCCCUGGUGGCUCCUGCUGCCGGCCCCUCCUAAGCCCUGAGGAGAUGCGCAAUGCCGUUGUGCAAGCAGCGGGCGAGCCAGCAGAGGAGAUGAGAGGAGCCUGGUGGAGUAAGUCGUCGGGGAACGGGGGCUGUGUCGGGCCCAAGAAUUAUCUUAGCAAUAAACCUACUCACGAGAAUAAAUGGGAGCAGGAGAGCUGCCAGUUAAUAAAAAAGGCUCAUUGCAGAAAA